CCUACGGGAGGCAGCAGUAAGGAAUAUUGGACAAUGCUCGCAAGAGUGAUCCAGCCAUGCCGCGUGCAGGAAGAAUGCCCUAUGGGUAGUAAACUGCUUUUGAACUAGAGAAAACCCCAGUACGUGUACUGGGCUGAUAGUAUAGUUAGAAUAAGCAUCGGCUAACUUCGUGCCAGCAGCCGCGGUAAGACGAAGGAUGCAAGCGUUAUCCGGAUUCAUUGGGUUUAAAGGGAGCGUAGGUGGACUGAUAAGUCAGUGGUGAAAUCUCCGAGCUUAACUCGGAAAUUGCCAUUGAUACUGUUGGUCUUGAGUACAGUUGCUGUGGGCGGAAUAUGACAUGUAGUGGUGAAAUACAUAGAGAUGUCAUAGAACACCGAUUGCGAAGGCAGCUCACAAAGCUGUAACUGACACUGAGGCUCGAAAGUGCGGGGAUCAAACAGGAUUAGAUACCCUGGUAGUCCGCACCGUAAACGAUGAUUACUCGCUGCUAGGGGGCAACCUUUAGUGGCUUAGCGAAAGCGAUAAGUAAUCCACCUGGGGAGUACGCCGGCAACGGUGAAACUUAAAUAGAAUUGACGG
rnacentral:rRNA from 1 species